AAUACAUGGUGCAGGCAUUUCUGAAUCAACGUUUUAAAACGUUCCCAAGCCUCAUGAAAACUUUCUCCUUCUAUUUGUCUAAAAAUAGCAAUUUCUCUUCUAGUUGC
rfam:Gossypium raimondii Chr13_contig_447, whole genome shotgun sequence.